UACGGGGGGGGGCAAGCGUUGUUCGGAAUUACUGGGCGUAAAGGGCUCGUAGGCGGCCAACUAAGUCAGACGUGAAAUCCCUCGGCUUAACCGGGGAACUGCAUCUGAUACUGGAUGGCUUGAGUUCGGGAGAGGGAUGCGGAAUUCCAGGUGUAGCGGUGAAAUGCGUAGAUAUCUGGAGGAACACCGGUGGCGAAGGCGGCAUCCUGGACCGGCACUGACGCUGAGGAGCGAAAGCCAGGGGAGCAAACGGGG
rnacentral:rRNA from 1 species